rnacentral:ncRNA from 1 species
GUGAUUGAUACACUUUGCAAAUGGCACCCAUCCAACAUGAAAUUCACAUGGGAAGUGGUGUUUCUAGAUAGGUAAGUAAUGUGUAAGAACCUACCCUUGGGAGGGGAACAACAACUAGAUAUGGUUUCUAAUACCCCAUAGGAUGAGGAGAAAAAUGAAGAAUCUACCCAAGGAGGGGCUCAUGUCUAAUUAGUUAGUUGGUGAGGCAAUGGAUUACCAAGGUAAUGAUCAGUAGAUGGUCAAAGGGGAUGAUCAACCAUAAUGGGACUUAGACACAUCCUAGACUCAUAUGGGAGGUAAUAGUGGGGAAUUUUCUACAAUGGGUGAAAUAUUGAUGAAGUAAUGUUGCACGAAGGAAGAAGUCCCAUGGGUCAUGAACUUAUUUUAUUGGAGAAGAAGAAAUCAUGGUAUCUGAGGAGUAACAGUUCGAUAAAUCUAUGCCAAUAGUUGUUGUAAGAUAGAGGAUGCAAGUGUUAUCUAGAAUGAUUGGGUAUAAAGCUCCUAUAGGUGGAUUUUCAAGUCCAUGCUAAAAUCUCAUGGAUCAACCCUAGACAAGCGGUGGAAACUACCAAGAUAGAGUACAAUAGGGGAAAAAUGAAUUUCUAUUGGAGCAGUGAAAUGUAUUGGGAUCGAAAAUAACUUUGUUGGGCCGACACUAACAACAAGAGAUGUGUAACACACC